rnacentral:rRNA from 1 species
GACAGAGGGUGCAAACGUUGUUCGGAAUUACUGGGCGUAAAGCGCGUGUAGGCGGUCUGAAAAGUCAGGUGUGAAAGCCCUGGGCUCAACCCAGGAAGUGCACUUGAAACUGCCAGGCUAGAGUAUCGGGGAGGUUGGUGGAAUUCUCGGUGUAGAGGUGAAAUUCGUAGAUAUCGAGAGGAACACCGGUGGCGAAGGCGGCCAACUGGACGAAUACUGACGCUGAGACUCGAAAGCGUGGGGAGCAAACAGG